rnacentral:rRNA from 1 species
AUGAACUUGUCAUGGUGCUCCUUGCUUCUGCUGGUCGUUUUUGCAGCAGAGUUGGCACUGGCCGCGGUUGUUGAUGAUGCGGUACAAUUUGAUCCCAAAGACAUUAAGAUGACCAUAAAGAGCAGAAAUGGGGAAAUAAUUGACUGUGUUGACAUCUACAAGCAACCGAGCCUGAAUAACCCCUUGCUGAAGGACCUGAAACACCAGAUAAUGAGGGAUAUAGCCAGCGCCGUGGCUGGGCAACAAGAUGGGAAUACACGGGCGACGACGGUGGAGCAGGAAUGGCACAAAGGCACAAGGCAAUGCCCCAUGGGGAGCAUCCCCAUCCUAAGGACGAACCCCUCCGUUAAUUACCUCACAGGAAGUCUUUUCCCAUCGCCGCUACGUGCAGCUAAUAUUAGCACUUGGAGUGGCGCUGCCAAUGCGGCCGGCCCCAGAUACGAGUUCGCCGUAGCGAUUGCUGCCAACGGGCCGUACAGCGGAGCGUAUGUACAGCUGCCGGUGUGGAAGCCGGCGCGCGUCCACGGCUCGGAGUACACCGCGACCUACCUCCUCCUGGCCGGCACCAAGGACACCGAAUUCGACCCUACACCCGGCGUAUUACCGCCCGAUGUCACCAAUCAGAUAGCAGCUGGCCUCUUUGCUUAUCCAGAAAAAGACACCAAUCCUCGGUUAAACAUAUUCUAUACGGCCGAUGGCGGUAAGACUCUGUGCUACAACUUGAACUGCGGAGGGUUCGUUCAAACAAGCAGGGCCAUCGCCCUGGGCGCUAGCAUCGUCAAUGGUGCAUCCGGUGUAGAUGAUCCCGUACCAUACUUACUAGUUAGUAUAGAAAAGAGCGCUGCUGGGCCUUGGCAUGUGCUGGUGAACGACACGGACCUCGGCUACUACCCUCGGGCCAUUUUCCCGUGGUGGAUGUUCCCUGAGUCUGUUGCCAACCUGAUGGGUGGCACGGUGCUCAACACAUGGCCGGGCGGCAAGCACACCGACACCGUUGUGGGCAACGGACGACGGCCACCCAGGGACUCCAAACCUGCUAUCGUCAAGGGUUACGUAGCUGUUGACCUCGAUGGACACCCCUUCCCCGACACUCUGGAAGUCAUUGUCCACACUGCGCCCAACUGCUACGACGUGAAGUUCUUCGACCAAAGCAAUGGCAGCGUGGGUGCCAGCGUUGCAUUCGGCGGAUCAGGUGGACCGGACUGUGCUCCGCGGCCCGCCUAG